GUCGUUCCUGCGCUGGUCUGAGCCAGGCUCAAAAGUGAAGAAAAAUCUACCGAUAUAUGAUGUUGGCAUGAUUGAUGGUGGAGUGACGACUGAUUGAUGGCUUUGCGAAGAAGGAAGAUGUUGUUACUGCUAGGCAGGGGGUGUCAAACAUGCGGCCCUCGGACGCUUAACAAUAAUUGUAAAAUUUUAAUUUAGAAAACUACUUUUAUUGACUUGACUACCGACCGUAUGAAUUUUGCGAAAUAACAAACUGACGUCGCUCACGAGGAAGUCUAGUUUAUUUUUCAGCAAGUAAAAAAUCACGAACACAAACUACAAGAAAA